UCAAGCUUCAAACUACAACGUUCAUGUAGCACCCAAAACUCUAGAACUAAUAAACUAUGAGAUUAAAGGAAGAGAAGAGAAGAAAAACUAGUUAGAAGACUCCUCCAAGCGUGGUGUGUGUUCCUCCACGUGAAUUCUCCUUCAAAGUAUGUUAGAUCUCUCCAAAGUGGCGUCUUCCCCUUCAAAAAUAUGUUUAGUCUUGCUUUUAUACGUGUUGGGUAGGUCUAGGGCCGAAAUAACCUUGUCCCGGGCAAAGUUGGACAAAUUUCACGUCAUUGGCGCCCUGGGUAGCGCCAGGCGCCCUCCGCGGCGCUGCCCCUUUUUUGGUUACUGUUUUUGGCGCCACAGGUAGGGCUAGGUGCCACCUGUGGCGCUGAAAUGUCCCAUUUUUCCUGUUUUUGUCCGUUUUGGCUCUAAUUUCGCACAUUCUGCCUCCGAUUGCUCCCGGAUCAUUCCUACACAUAAAAACACAUCAAAUUAACGUAAAUUAACACAUUUCACAUCCUAAUCCAUGAAACAAAAAUAAAAUAUGAGAAGAUAUACAUACAAAUAUAUAUAUUUUAAGCGAAACAUCAACUAUGAAGAGUGCAAUACAUAAUUGGCUUGCAAAAAGUUUACCAUUCUUCCCAACAUUACCCCUUUCUCCUUAAGCAAAUGAGAAAAAAGUAAGACAGUGAUGAGCAAAAAUGAAACGAACUAAACUAAUAUAUUUAAGUUUGAAAAAAAAAAACUAAUACAUUGAAGACGAACACACUGACGAGCUACAGUAAGUAAAUGCUAGUAAUUAUUUAUUUAUUGUUCAUUGCUUUGAUAUAAACGUGUACUUCACCAAUCUCAUUUUAUGUGGGAAAUUUUCGUUUUUAGUUUGUUCAAAAAAGAGUUACUAUCUUUUUUUAUAUUUAACUAUCUUUUCCUAUAUUUAAUUUUAAAAUUAAAAUUUUAAUGCUAUUCUUAAAAAAAAGUAUAGCUCUACAAAUAUUUAUAAUUUAUAUGAAAUUACAAGUUUCAAAAAUAUUUUUUCUAGAAAACUUGAUCUUCACUGAAAAACCACCACAUAAAUGGGAUAGAGGUAGUAAUAAGUGGGCGUUUGGACAUAAGAAUUGUAAAAUUUCAAAAUAGGGUGAAUUUUUUUAAGUGAAAAUGGUAUUUGAAAUUUAGAGUUGUGUUUGGAUAUGAAUAUAAUUUUGGGUUGUUUUUGAAGUUUUGUGAGUGGAAAUUUUAAAAAACAGUUUUUUGGAGUUUUUUAAAAUGCAUCUUUAAGUGAAAAUUGAAAAGUGUACGAAGAAAUGCUGAUUUCGAAAAAGAAUGAAAAUUUUUUGGGAAAAAAGAUAAAACUUUUUAUGUCCAAUCUGGCUCUAAGUUUCUCCCUAGUAAAAAAGUGAGUGGUGGGAUGGUUCAAUUGUUUUAAAUUUUAGGUACCAUUAUUGGCAAAAAUAGAAAAAAGAAAAAAGAAACCAUGUCCAUUUGUUUGAAGAGAUGACGUGUCGAUUUAGAUGCCUCACAAUCCCCUAUCGAAAAGAACACAAGUUGCUGACUUGCCGGAUAUGGGGAUCAAUUCUGUAGUAUUAUCAUCUCAGCUUGGAAAUAGAUAACGUAACCUCAUAGCUUCACCGCCUCCAUUUUCGCCGGCGAUCGGCGGCGAAAUGGAAGCUCUCUACUCCACUAUUCACUAUUGGCUAGUUACUCAUCCGAUUAUCACCAACUUCCAAUGGAAACAAGGUUCCACAUUCGGUGCAUCGCCACUUUUCCUCACACUCGCAGUCCUCACUUACCUCACUCUCACUUUCUCUUUCGACCAUUUCCCUCUUCUCCCUCCACUCUCCCCCACCGCCCUCCGCCUCAUCUCCGCCGUCCACAACCUUAUCCUCUGCCUUCUCUCCCUUAUCAUGGCCGUUGGAUGCUCCCUCUCAGCCGUCCACCAAAUGCCAAAAAAUGACUGGACUUGGGUCAUCUGCUUCCCAGCCAAUCACACUCUUCCACGUGGACCUGUCUUUUUCUGGGCUUACAUUUUUUACUUCUCCAAGAUUCUUGAAUUUGUGGACACCCUUUUGAUCAUUCUAAGUGGGUCUCGAACUAGACGGCUGUCGUUCCUCCACGUGUACCAUCAUGCGGUGGUGGUUGUCAUGUGUUAUUUGUGGCUUUCUUCUUCGCAGACUCUGUUUCCUGUGGCGCUUGUUACAAAUGCUUCAGUUCAUGUGCUAAUGUACGCUUAUUAUUUUCUGUGUACGUUAGGAGUACGGCCAUGGUGGAAGAGAUUGGUCACUGACUUUCAAAUUAUCCAGUUUGUGUUCAGCUUCUUGAUUUCGGGUUUGAUGUUGUUCUAUCACUUUACCGGGUCGGGUUGUUCCGGGAUCCAAGGAUGGUGCUUCAAUGCAGUUUUCAAUGCUUCCUUGUUGGCACUCUUCCUUGAUUUUCAUUCUAAGAAUUAUGCCAAGAAGAGGAAAGCUCUCGACAAGAAUAAGCUGUCAUGAUUUUUGGUGGAGGGAGUUGUUCUAGAAGAUAGUUUCAAAGCGUACAUGAACUUAUUUUUUUUGGUGUGUUCCGAAAAAAAUGUCUAUUUUUUAAAUUUGGAAACAAUUUAGCUUAAAUUUUCAAUUUUAUCUCUAAUGAAAACUUUUAUAACAAUACAAAUACUAUGACUCCUUUUUUACUUGUUUAGUACCACAAAUUCAAAAAGUUUCAUUUUUUCUUAAAUUUCGCGUCCAGUUAAACAUGUUCACGUAAAUUAGAACGAAAGUAGUAGUUAUUAGCCGUAGAAUUAAUUGAGUUAAAGCGCAAGUUGAUCACGGACACCGCAAUUACUAAAGAAAAAAAAGAAUAAUAAUUAAGCUGUCAUGAUUCGAUGGGAACUUAACUUUCAUCUUAAUUAAUUUUGACAUGAGCUCGACUUUAGCUCUGCCC
rnacentral:lncRNA from 1 species